rnacentral:rRNA from 4 species
AAGUCUAAAACGACUCUCGGCAACGGAUAUCUCGGCUCUCGCAUCGAUGAAGAACGUAGCGAAAUGCGAUACUUGGUGUGAAUUGCAGAAUCCCGUGAACCAUCGAGUCUUUGAACGCAAGUUGCGCCCCAAGCCUUCGGGCCGAGGGCACGUCUGCCUGGGUGUCACAA